rnacentral:rRNA from 1 species
UCGGGAAUUUUGGGCAAUGGGCGAAAGCCUGACCCAGCAACGCCGCGUGAAGGAUGAAGUAUUUCGGUAUGUAAACUUCGAAAGAAUAGGAAGAAUAAAUGACGGUACUAUUUGUAAGGUCCGGCUAACUACGUGCCAGCAGCCGCGGUAAUACGUAGGGACCAAGCGUUGUUCGGAUUUACUGGGCGUAAAGGGCGCGUAGGCGGUGUGUCAAGUCAGUUGUGAAAUCUCCGAGCUUAACUCGGAACGGUCAACUGAUACUGUCACACUAGAGUACAGAAGGGGCAAUCGGAAUUCUUGGUGUAGCGGUGAAAUGCGUAGAUAUCAAGAGGAACACCUGAGGCGAAGGCGGGUUGCUGGGCUGAUACUGACGCUGAGGCGCGAAAGCUAGGGUAGCAAACGGGAUUAGAUACCCCGGUAGUCCCUGAGCGGGCUGGCAAGGCGCAU